AGUAUGUUGUAAUGGUUUUCCUGCCUGCUGAGUGUCUGGGAGGCAGCUGGUUGGAGUCUGGUGUGAGAAAUCAGCUCCGUGUUGAGGCUUCCUGCAAAUGAUUUGAAGUGAGCACUUUAGAAUAAGCAUCACUUCCUUCUCUCCAGAUUUUUGAACCUGCUGCUAGAUUGUGAGCUGGGCUGGAUGAGUCCUGUCUACAUCCUCUCACCCUGUAGCAUUCUGUAUAGCUAUGGGACAUUCUGUAUAGCCACAGGAACCAAGAUUCCUUAUUUUUGUGAAAUCUCUAUACACAACCUCUGGAUUUCUGCAUCAUUGGAAUCCGUAUGUGUAGCCGUUUUAUUUCUGUAUUGUUCUGUAUUGUAUUCGGUAGAGUAUUGUACUUCAUUAGCACA